rnacentral:misc_RNA from 1 species
GAAAUGCGAUACAUGGUGUGAAUUGCAGAAUCCCGUGAACCAUCGAGUUUUUGAACAAAAGUUGCGCCCGAAGCCAUUAGGCCGAGGGUACGUCUGCCUAGGCGUCACACGUCGUUCCCCUCCAAAACCUUUUUAAGGCGAUGGAUGGGUGGAAGAUAGCUCUCCCAUGUGCUUUGUCACGUGGUUGGCCCAAAUAAAAAUUCCUUGGCAUCCAACGCCGCGACAAUCGAUCGUUACCUGCUUAAUUUAA